GGGAUCCAAGCCAUGUCUGCGAACUACACCACAGCUCACAGCAAUGUCAGAUCCUUAACCCACUAAGAGGGCCCAGGGAUCAAACUCGCAUCCUCAUGGAUACUAGUUGAUUUCGUUUCUGCUGCACCACAACGGGAACUCCCUAAAUCUCCUAAAUUUUUCAGCCUCCCCUUUCUCUUCAUUCUAAUCAAUUCUCUAUAAUGCAAUGAGAAUCAACAUUCAAAAACAAAUGUAAAUUACUUUUAAAAAUCCUCCAUUCUCCAUUAAAAAGAGGAUAAAAUCCACAUUAUUUUCAAGACAAGCAAAGCUCUUCACUAUUUUUUCCCUCCAAGCCUCUUUUCACACACAUGCUGUUCCUUCUUUCCAUUUGCAGCCCUCUCCUUUUCUUCUCCUUUAACAUGCUGAAGAAUCCAGAGGUUUGUUUCAGGCUAUUACUUAAGUGUCAGCUCCACUGUGAAGUUUUCCCUCACUAUUUCAUGCCUUGGUUGUGACUGCAUACAGGUUUUAUACACAUGACAUUGGUGUUACCUCACAAGAGUAUACUUAUUGAUUUACAUAUCUGCCUGCUCACUAGGCUGUGAGGUCCCUAAAGCAGAAGUUGUGUUUACAUAUCACUGCAUCCUCAGGGCUGACUACAGUGCAUGGCACACUAUUAUUCAAUGUUUGUCGAAUGAAUAAUUUCCCAUCUUUCUACUAAUAAUGCGUCUUGAGUUUUCUGAAGUGAUACAUCAAUUUUUUAGUGAGUAAAUAUACCAAAAAAAAAAAAAAAGUCAGUGCUAUUGAAGGAAAGAAAUUAUGGGUUUUAUCCACUUAUUAAAAUAAGGAAUUGGACAUUCAAAACAAAUGGAGUCUUUUAAGCCCACUAAUGAAAAGUUACUUUCAGGCACAUGCAGUAUUAACUUAACUAAGAUCCACAGAAGGGUAGAACUGAAAGGGAUGCUGGAAGUCACCUGGAUCAUGCAUUUGAUUCUACAGAUGAAGAACCUGAGAUCUAGACAAGUUAAGGGACUAACUUGAUCAAGGCCUCAGUUCUGGACAAACUCUAUGCCCAGCUCAAAAGCACUGAAAUUUCAGGGCUUGAGUGCUUCAAGAAAAGAAGUGUAAGAACUACCUGACAAUUGGAACUUCGUAAAAACCAGGACAGGUCAGGGGAGGCCUAGAUCAGUGUUGAAAAUGUGAUUCUUCCACCCAAUGUGAAGAAGAAAAGUUUUUGAGGUGAGGUGGGAUGGGUGGAAAAUGUGAUGAUUUCCCUGUAGUAAUUGAUAAGGCUCAUUUAUACCAGGAAGUAUUCCUAAGGGGAUUGAUUCAGUUCAGUAAAUGGUACAUAGCUCAAGUUUGGAAUCUUUCAUACUUUAAGCAGAAAAAAAUAUUCACAACAUAAAAGAUAGUGGGCAGUUAUAGUUAAUAUGCAAAUACUUUUACAAAUAAAAUUAAAAAAAUAAUCCGAUAGGAACAUAAACAAAACAUGAAUAGAAAAUUCAUAAAAUUAUGAUGUAUGAGUGGUCAAUAAAUAUAAAUGAUAAAUAAAAGGUUAGCAAAAACAGCAAUGAAAGAAAUGGUUACUUGAACAUAGCACCUUUGUCACUUAUCAGGUUGCAGUUUUUUAAAAAGAAAAAGCUCAGUAUCAAGAGACACUUUAAAUUACUUUCUUACACUGCAGGGGUACUGUCAUUAGUACAACUUUUCUGGAAGAUGGUUUGGUAACAUGGAUUAAAAUCUUCAAAAAUGUUUAUAUCUGGUGACUUAAUAUUUCCACCUUCAAGAAUUUAAAACCAAUCACAAAUUUACACUGAUUUAUAUAUGAAGUAUUGUUCGUAGUAAUGGAAAACUGAAACAACCUAAAUGCUAGCAAAAGGAAAAUGAUAAUUUAUUAAUUUGGAUAUGAUAAAACACUAUUCAUCUUUAAAAAUAGUGAUUUAGAAACUAAAACAUGGAAAAUGUGUAAAUAUUAAUGAAAAAUUGUUUCUGCCAUAAUAUGAAUAAUAGCAGAAUGGGUAUACACAAACACACAUAUAUGAUGUGUGUGUACACUUAUGUAUGUGUGUGUAUAUAAUUCCUUGCUAUCUGGCUCUUACUAUAUGAACGGCCACUGUAAUAAUUUGUAAAAAAAAAAAAUUGCCCCAAAUCGACUAACCAAUUCACUAUCCAAAUUCAUUAUUUAAAUUAAAAGCAAAAUCAUAAGGGAUUUGCAAAUACUGUUUAGGGAAGACUCUACAGUUGCCCCUGAGUCCUGACAAAACGGUGUGCAUUGUGUGACAAAACGUAGGCUCAUUGUUCCUGCUCUCUACAGGAGUGUAAACAUGACAUGCGUUAUUAUUACCAUUUUCCCCACCUUCUCCCCGAUGGUCUAGAUUUUCAACACUACCAGAAGCCACUUCUGUGAGCCAUCUAACAGUUCUACCAGUCCAGGUCCAACUCAGAUCUUAUUUUUAUUACCUAACUUAUUAUUUUAUCAUUUAUAUUACAGUACACAUUUCCUGUAGUAUAGAGGGAAACUGUAACUUAUCUUUGCUAAUGUACAAACUCCAUGUAUAUUGCAUAUAAAGAUACCUACUAGUGAGUUAAAAGUUUAAUAAUUAGGUGAUUGGUGUUUUAUAUGCUUUAUAUUAUGAAGAAAUUCUUUCUUGGUGAUUGUUACAUUUGUAUUUAAGAGUAUUUUAAUGACAUUUGAGGAAAUUACUUGAAAAGUUUUGAUGGUCUGAGAACUUUCUUUUGUAUUUAGAGUAAUGAAAUAUGGCUCCUGUUAAUUUCAUAUCCAACAUUUUUUGAGAAGUAUUAUAUUCAGAUAAUGAAGAUAGAGAUUCUUGUAUUUUUGAUUUUUGUACUGAAAUUAAAUGCCUCUGAUAUAUUAGCAGUGUCUUCUUUAUGAUAGUGUGAAUUUAUAUUGUUUUAUAUUUCAUAUUUUCUGAAUUUUGUAAAAUAAGAUUUUGCUAUGAAGUUUUUCUAUAAAGUAAAAGAACAAAGAUUGAUAAAGGAGGGUCUCAGGACUUUACUUCAGUGACUUCAGUGGGAGGUGGGUAAGAAGUUGAACCACAUCUGUAUAAGGGGUAUGGGAAGAAUGUGUUUUUGCAUAAAUUUAUCAUGGUUAAAAGCUAUGUUUAUGACAUGAAUUCUAAGAGUUUAUGAAUAAUUACUUACUUUUUUUUCUCUUUUGCACCUUAAGAAUUAAUGUCACUUUGCAUCUUUUGAGUGGCAUUGUAAGCCAGCAACUAGAAUCACAAAUUUCAGGUAUGUAACAUUAAUACAGAUACUUUGUAUUUAUAUAUUUGCAAAGAAGGAACAUGAAUAUUUGCAACUGUAGUUAAAACUUAAAACUGCAUCGUAGAGACAAUCAAACAGUUUCAGUAACUCAGAUGUCCUCAAGUUCUUCAGCCUAAAGGAUUCUCUUCUUUAAAUAAGAGCAGGUCCUCAUUAGCAGGAAGUCCCAUUUGUCCUUACUUUUUCUGCGACUUCCCAGGGAGUACCUAAAGGCCCCCCAUUCACCUGGAGGACUUCUUUGGGUUUUUUUUGUUUCCUCAUAACCAUUCUUCAGGUUUCUGUAGCAGGUCACAAAACACUUUGUCCUAUGUGUGAUCAAAGGUUCUAUCUGAAAUCCCCCAAACUUGUAAGACCAGCACAUUGUUUUUAAAACUUUAAGAAGGCUUGAGGUUAACAGAAUGGGGUUUAUAAUGUAGAAGAUAGAACACAACUGGGGGAUAGAUACUGCUAUUUCCAAUUGGCUAUUCUCCCAUUUCCCUUGGCUAAUGCCAUACUUGGGGGGGCCAGCUCUUAUCCAACAUUUAGGAGUGGUUUUGAACAAGUAUCCUAAACCUGGACACAUUUUUGGAUUCCGGAAAUGACACUCAAUGACCAGGGCCUUUUAUUUACCAUACAGGAUAAUGUCAUUCCUCAGUGUCCACUCAAGAUCAAGAUCUUACUUUUAGAUGCCUUUCCAAAGGCCCAGUGAUUCUCAAGAGUCCUGAGUGCAAAACGAGAAACCAAGUCCGUGCCAUAAACAACAGAAAGAAGUGCAGAACUUUGAAAUUAAAGAAUGUUUCAAAAAGUUUCAAAGCUCAGAAUCAAUUCCUUGGGCUUAGCUCAGUUUAAAGAACCUGAUCUCUCUCCCCGCAGUCCCCCAUUCUCUGAAAAGUCUUUGCAAACAGAAAAGUUUUCCAAGUAUUUGAACUAGUAUGUUAAGGCAGCCCUAAUAUUGGUUGUCUGAAAGUAU
ensembl:lncRNA